rnacentral:tRNA from 1 species
GGGCUCUUAGCUCAGUUGGCUAGAGUGCAUCCUUGACGUGGAUGAGGUCAGAGGUUCGAGUCCUCUAGAGCCCACCA